rnacentral:lncRNA from 1 species
AGCUGAUUGUUUAAUGCUCCCAAUAAAAACUUAAGGAAUUAUCAUUAAAAACAUGAAAACAUAUAAAAAAAAACUGUUGGUCGGCGCAUGCGCAGUGCCGUAAAGAAGCACAUAUCGAUAGGUAGCAUAACUCGACAGAACACCGGUUCCCCCGAGCACAGCUGAUUCACACAGCGUCUUUCCCGCUAACCGUAAUAAACACUGCUGGGAAAAGUUCAGCUGCGCUGCCUGAGGCAUUUCUCUCACUACCAAGACUUUCAGAAAGGUCAAACUGUAGGAGGAAAGUUGAUGGCAAGUGAUGAGGUGAUUCAUAUGCAGAAUGCUUCAGUGACCUCGGGUGUAAAUAACACAACUCACGGCAAUGAUACAUGUAAAUAUCAAAACCUUCCUACAUUCUACUGCUAACACUUUAAAUUACCAGUUCUUUAAUCAGUAAAGGCUUAAUAAGACAAUUUUAUAUUUAUUAUUAUUUAUUAUAUUCUUCAAAUUGAGUUUUUAUUGGAGUUAUGCACAAUAAGCACUUUUAUCAUCCUAUAAUGCUAUUUACCCUGUUUUAGUGUGUAAUUACAGAUUGAACUGUAAACAAUAGUAUCUGAACAGUAUCUGCACCAUUUCAUAACAUGCAAGCUGGACAGUUUGUAUUUUUAUCUCUUUUUGAUGAUGUAAUACUAAUGAAUGAAACCCUGGAGUUAUGGAACACACACUGACAUAAUAGAGAUUAGGGGUGGGCGAUAUGGCUCUAAAAUAAUAUCACGAUAUUUCAGGGUAUUUUUGCGAUAACGAUAUACUUGGUGAUAUAGAAAAACAG